AUCCGGCUAACGAGUCCCAUAUUGGACGAGACGCGCGUCCUGGAC
rfam:Schistosoma mattheei strain Denwood, Zambia genome assembly, scaffold: SMTD_scaffold0020065